GGGAGAAGAGCGGUCAGCAUUCACACUAGUGUUGGGGCGGGACCGCGAGGGUCUGGCAUCACAGGACACCUAGGCUGGGUUCAGACAGGAGGACAGUGAGGAAGUGCCGGGGUCCCGAGGGCAGUGGGGUGCAGGGGGCGUGCUCGACAUCGAGGCUACUAGGCGGCCACGGACGAGUCCGGAUUUUAAGCUAGUUGUCGCCUAAAACCCGUUCCCAAAACAAAAUGGCCGCCAAGAAUGAAGACUACAUUUCCCAGCAUUCCCUGCAGCGAGGUUUGACCAUGUGACUAUGUACUGGCCAAUGGGACGAAAGGAAAACUUCAUGUGACAGCCCCAGCCUCUUCCCACGGCCAGCUCUGCCGUCUUCUUUUUUGUCUUCCUCCCCUUGAUGCCUCAAGCUCGGGGCUCUCCCCAUCGGAGGGCGGGUGUGGGCGGAAGGAGCCUGGGCCCCGAGAGCGGCCCGGACGGCUCAACCCCCACUGUGUCCUUGCGGGGAGAAUUAGGCGCACUGCCUUGCUUCUGUUUGCGCUAUUUGGAUUUUCGGUCACUCUCAGCGGGACGUAAUCUAAGGCGAUAAUAGAGGUGCUUCAACGAGAAGAGUGUGUGAGAGUUGCCUGUAGCUGACAGCAACAGCGCAUUUCCCUAGACCAGGCACUGGGCUUUAUCCACGAUCUCGUUCAAGCUUUGAGGUCGUUCUUGAAGACUGUCCAUCGUCCCUGAACACUGAUCAAGUGGUCAGAAUGGUCGUCGAAUCUUCCGGCUUUAUCAGUUCUUUAUGUAUUUCGCAGUGUGCACGAUAGACUGGAGGCUUCCUGAAGGCAGGGCUGCCGCAGGUUGCAUGGCUGUGUCCUCAGAGCCUGGCACAUCGCCAGCCCAGAGUUGGCGCUCAACGCGUAUUUGUUGGAUGAAUAAAUUUAGAGGGAAAUUUUAUGCAAAUAUCUAUCUUACUGUCUGGUUAGACAAAACAUUUUUUUGAAUCAACUUUUUAUUUUACAACAAUUUAGGAUUACAGAAAAAUUGCAAAGAUGGUGGAGCGUUCGCAUAUCUCCCACGCCCAGUUUCCCCGUUAUUGACGUCUUCCACUACCGGGCGUGUCUGCACAGUCAAUGAGCCAAGACUGCUAAGUCAUUAUUACUCAUGUCCAUAUUUGAUUCAGUCUUCCUGAGUGCUUGCCCGGUGUCCUUUCUCUGUUCCGGGAUCCCACAUUCUAUGGAGUCAUCACAUCUCCUGACGUCCCUCUUGGAUGUGACAGUUUCUUGGACUUCCCUUGCUUUUGAUGACUGACCAUUUUGAGGAGCGCUUGGCCAGCAUUUUGAGGAAUGUCCCUCAAUUGGGGUUUAUCUGAUGUUUUUCUCUUGACUAGACUAGGGUUAUGGGUUUUUGGGAGGAAGAGCACAGAGAUUGAGUGCCCUUCUCAUGACGUCAUAUCAAGGGUACAUGCUGUCAACAUGCUUAUCACUGCCGAUGUUGACCUUGGUCACCCGCCCAGACAGUGUCUGCCAGCUGUCUCCUCCGGCAGGAGACUCUCCCACUCUCCUUUUCCACACUCCCCCUUUGGAGGGAAGGUCACCGUGUGCUGUCCGCACUUAAGGAGCGGGGGUCGUGUGCCACUUCCUUGGGAGGAGCCACACAGAUUAUCUGGAAUCUUAUGCAGGAGAUUUGUCUCUUCUUCCUGUUUAUUAAUUUGUGCAAUAAUUCACAUCACUAUGGACUCAUGGGUAUUUAUUUUUACACUUUGCAUCACAACCCAACGCUACUUCAUUUAUUUUGUUCCUCAAAUUGUGCCGGCCUUGGCCACUGGGACCUCUUUCAGUUGGCCGUGGUGUCCCUUUGACCUCCCCAUCGUCUCGUUUCCCAGCUUUCCGGCGCUAUGGGAUGCUGUGGGCUCGCCCCAGGUGUUGCCUACGCCAGUCCUGGAAUCAGGCGUUUCUCAGGAAGCCAUGGCUGCUUUCAUGGGGGGGUGAUAUUAGAGACCAAGAGCCGGGUGCUCGGUGUGCCCCUUGCUAAGGGGGUAUUGGAAAAACAUUUUUAAACUUGUCAUCCCAGCUCUUCUCGAAGCCCAGGGGUCCCCAGCUGAGCCAGGGGGAUGCUCAGAUUAGAGACAGGGCUGCCGUGCUCCUCCGGGCGCAGCGUUUGUGGGCAAACCCACACCCACGGUGGGCCGCUCCUAGAGGAUGUACAGGGAAGCGUGCGGUUGUUUACUGGCUGCUUUUCUUGCUCAGAGGGUCUUUGGCGUCCUGCAGGACCUGACUCAGAGGCCUCCUUGGCCUGGGGAUGGGGUGGCUUUGACAGGUGGACGGGUGGAAAUCACCCUGUGCCGCUGGCCAUGCCUGGGGCUCAUGGGAGGAACCGGCCUGCCCAGCUCUGUGCCCGGUCUCUGCUGGCGGCAUUGUCCCCCGUAAGGUCAGCCUCACGGGCCAGUGCCACCUGUUUCUCCUUCAUCACCUGGCGUGAAUGAAUCACAUUGCGCUUGUUUCUGUGUCUCCCAUACUAGAAUCUGAGCGACACUUUAUCCGCAUCUCCUGGCACAGUGCCCGGCACACAGUAGGCAUUUAAUAAGUGAGUCUCGAAUGGUGAAUGGAAGAAUACGUGGGUGAAAUUCGCUGGGUCUGGACCAGUGCAGUGGCCUCCUGACCCAUCUCCUUGCUUCUCCUUCAUCUCUAGGCGGCAGUUGGAGUGAUGUCUUAACAGCGGGAGUCCCUCUCUCCCUCUCUGGCCCCAGUGCAGCCGUGGGCUGGUGCCACCUGCCGGGGAGCCCCAAAGGCCCUGGGGAGGCAAGUGGGCAUGGGGGUGGGGGCCCUCCAGCCAUGGGCCGGCCCCUCUAUUGGAGGGGUCACGGAGGUCAGGAGUCCACCCUCCCGUAGUGAUGGGCAAAGUUGUGUCUAGAUGGGUCUCUCCCAACGGCCAGUCUGUGCCCUUCAGGGGGAAGGGGUGUUGCCAGCGCACUCUGCUUUUGGGGAUGCUGAAAUGAAGGGCAGCCUGGUUAUGCCCUUAGCUGGAGCAGAAAGUCGCCGUCAGGAGGGAACUGAACAAAGAGCAGUUUUACUUGGGGACAUGACGGACGACCCCUCCCAAAACAGUCAGAGUCCAGGGUGCCGGCUCUUGUUGUGUCUGCCAUCUUGGGAGGAGGCCCACAUGAAUCCCUGGCUUGGAAGGGGUGCUUCAUCCUCAUGUUCCUGGGGGCCUCAGCUGUCCAGCCUAGGACAAGUGUCUGGGGAGCAGUGGGAGGCCACCAGGGGCCACAUGCAGACAGGCCUUGGCUCACUGAAUUUGCUGCCAGGAGGGCCACAAUCUUUGGGACCAUGGCGGUGUUCCCUAGGAGGGAGACAAUGGCCUAAGGAUGGCGAUUCCUUCCCCAAGGGCCACUGAGGUGCAGCGGUGCUGGAGGAAGCUCCUUCUCUUAGCUCCUCCUCCCUCUCCUGGAGAGAUUAGCAGACUCCACCACGAGCACCCUUCAGUGCCCUGGGGGGCGGUCACGCCUGCCCGCUGAGGCUGGGACCUGCCUGCUGAUGGCUGUUCCCGAUUACUGGGGCCUGACCCGCCCUUCGUGACAGCAGGGUUUUAUUAGCACGAGAUCCACUUUAUCAAUCACUGUGCCUUUUGUUACUUCUCAGGGGCUUUAUCUCAGUGGCCACCUCGCCUCCCGGCUAAAUGAGGAUUAAUAUUUUAACAGGAUUAUGUGCUGUGGGUUAGUGGUACUCUCCUGGGACACAGGGCGCUCGCCUCCCUCAGCCUCUCCCCUCGCCUCGGGCCUCCCUCCUGGGGUGCAGGGAGCAGGGCCUCCAUGUGUGUGGGGGGCUGCCGGGAGCUGGGGGCCACCUUCUUUCUGACUCUGGAAUGGGAGUGGGUAGGAGGGCUGGUGAGUGGACUCUGGAUGGUGGUUGGUUUUGAAGAGCAGGUCUGUGCUACGGUGGGGGCGGCCCUGCAGUUGACAUGCCUGUAGAGACCGAAGCCUGUGUCCUGGGCUCAGCGGGCUUGACUGUCAGGGCGCAAGGGGAAGAUGGAGCCGGAACUGGUAGAGGGGAGAGAGAGAGAGAGAAGGGGCAGGAGGAGGCCCACCUGCUGCAGCAUUGCAGCCCCCCCAGUGAUGCAGCCUCUAAAUUUGCCAGCAUCAGACCUUCUGGAUCUUUCUAGAAAAAUAUUUCAGUUUCCACCACAGUUUCGUAAAAGUGAGCCUGCCCCCAUCCAUCUCCUGCUUCCAUCAUUUGGAGGAUAAAACAGGGCAAGGCUUCCAGAACCUGUGCGCCUGGCCCCGCGGAUCCCCCAGCGUCAUUGUCACCUGGUGCCCCUGUGUCUCUGUCCUUCCUCAGAGCCACUGUCUCCUUCAUAAACCUUCUCUGCCCUCUAGGAAGGCCGCCUCUCUGUUAAGGGCCGGCCCCUAGGCCCCGAGCUGGGGAGCUUUCCCCAUCGCCCCAGGCGGAGCGGGAACCUCUGAGGGUCCCGCCUGUGAUUCUCCUGCUGAACUGCUUGUCACUGUCUCUUUGAUUGUAAGUUGUGGGUCUGCUGCCCCCGCGCCAGGCUGUGGGCCCCUGAAGGACACUCUAUACUGUAUCCAUAUCUAGAUUCGUGGGAGGCAGCAGACAUGUUUAUGGAGAGAGAAAUGAAUGAGUGAGUGAAUGAAUGAAUGAGGGAGGGGAGAAAGAGGGGAGGCAGCUUGGCUCCCUGAAUGAGGGACCAGGGCUGACUCGUUGGUUGCCCCCUCUGCCCCAGAAGAGCCCAGGGCCGGCUCCUAACUGUGAUAAUGGCUUUGGUGACAGCAAGCUGAUGGGGACAGGUCCUGGGCCAGCGGAGGGAGUCGGCCCUCUCAGAGCCUGGCCCUUCCUCCAGGAAUCUGGCCUCUGUGGGGUGCGCGCCUGGGGCUCCAGGCAUCCUGGGGCUUGUGGCCCAGCCCUCCAGUCUCUGCUCUGUGGUCACGUGGCCUCUCCUCUUCUCUCUGUGUCUCUCCUCUUCGGUCUCUUAUAAGAACUCGUCAUUGGAUUUAGGGCCCACCCAGAUACUCUGGGAUGAUUUUGUCUGAGAUCCUUAAUUACAUCCGCAAAGACCUUUUUUCCAAUUAAGGUCACAUUCACAGGUUCUGGGAACCAGGAUGUGGACAUCGGCUUUUGGGGGCCCACCCCCAGGAUUUGGCUAAGUGCCCCCAGACAUGUGGUGCUUGUCUAUGCCUGUAGGUAAAUCACCUGUAGAGCCAGGCCCUUGGAUCGUGAGGUUGAGGAACACGACCUUCUCUGCCCCAUUCUUGCUUUCCUCUCCUCCUCAGUCUGCCUGACUCAUGGAGGGCACAUUAAAAAAAAAGACUUUACUUUUUAGAGCAGUUUUGGGUUCAUGGCAAAAUUGCGGAGAAGGCACGCAUAUUUCCCGUGUGCCCCCUGCCCCACACCUGCACAGCCUCCCCGACUGUCAACAUCCUCCGCCAGAGGGGUCGUUUGUUACAAUCGAUGAAACUACACCGACACAUCGUGUCACGCAGAGUCCACAGUUUACGUUAGGUUCACUCUCGGAGUUGUACGUUCUGUGGGUCUGGACACAUUUCUGACGUGUCCACCA